CAAGUACUCCCUCUGUCCGAAAAUACUUGUCAUCAAAAUGGAUAAAAAAGAUGUAUCUAGAACUAAUAUACAUUUAGAUACAUCCCCUUUUAUUCAUUUUGAUGACAAGUAUUUCCGGACGGAGGGAGUACUAC
rnacentral:pre_miRNA from 1 species